GGGAAUGUGGCUUAGUGGUAGAGUGCUUGCCUUGCAUGCAUGAAGCCCUAGGCUUGACCCCUCAGUACCA
rnacentral:tRNA from 1 species